rnacentral:lncRNA from 1 species
ACUUUGAGCAGAGGCCUGAAGGGAGGAAGCAGGCAGGCCCUGUGCUUGUGGAGGGCUCCUUUGAGACCAGGCGGCAGGUGCAAAGGCCCGGGGGCAGGUCCUGCCCUCAGCAUAGUCCCAGUAAACUUGAUUCGAGUUCAAAAUCAGGGCGGAGGCAGGGCCCUGUUCCCUCCAGAGGCUCCAGGAGCGGGUCCUUCCUGCCUCUCCCAGCUUCUGGGGGCUCCAAGCCAUCUGUAGUGCUUCGGGCCCACGUCACUCCUGUCUCUGCGGGUGUCACGUGACCGUCAUCUUCGGAACACCAGGCGGCUUCGAUGUUUGGCCUCCCUAAUCCGGGAUGAGCUCAUCUGAGCUCCUUACGUCGGAAAGACCCCCUUUCCAGAGACGCUCCCACUCUGAGGUUCCGGGUGGACCUAAAUGUGGGAAGGGCUCUCCUUACCCCACUCGGACCGCGAGGAGGAGCUUAGGUCUCUCCAGCAAGGCCCGCUCAUCUGAGGCCGAGGAGCUGGAGCCCAGGUGGGCGACCCGCCUCAGGCGUCGCCCCGCUCGUGGCGAGGAGGUGACAGCCUCGCUCCACCCCCGGUCCAGGGGGUGCUGCCUGUGCUGCCUCAACACAGGGCUGGACGGUAGGGAGGUGACCUCCGGGUGAGGGGGACAGCCUUGGCCUGGCCUGGCCUGGCUCAGCCUGGCUCAGAAGUUUCUAGGUCAGGCCAGCAGCCCUCCUCCUGGCGGUGGGCACGCUGCCCUCUUGCUGGCGCUGCGUUAUUCAGGACGUGGCCGCGCUGCUGGUGGUCUGUGGUCCUGCUGGCACCGUCCUGGGAGGGGAAGGUCCAGGACAGUGAUGACCCCACCCCCGUAAGCCAUGGUCAGCUCCUCUCCCACGUAUCCUGAGGCAGGGGGGUUCCGUCGGAUGAGGAGAGAGCGCUCGAGCUGAAGUCCAGGCCCCGGUCCUAGGCCAGGCCACAGGACCCCGGCAGGCCGCUCAGACCCUCAGGGCUUCUGAACCCUUUCCUCUCCGACAGCUGACCAAAGACCCGGCGUUUCCAGAUUCCAAGGAGAACGCGCACUGAAAUCUUUGCACUGGUGUAAAGGGUCUUAAAUUGAUUUUUUUUCCCUUUUUAGGGCCAUGGCAUGUGAGGUUCCCAGGCUAGGCAUCGAAUCAGAGCUGCCAGCCUACACCACAGCCACAGCACCGCCGGAUCUGAACCUACACCGCAGCUCAUGGCAACACCGGCUCCUUAACCCACUGAGCGAGGCCAGAGAUCGAAGCUGCAUCCUCAUGGAUACUAAUCGGCUUCUUUGCCUCUGAGCCACAGCGGGAACUCCUACAACGGGAACUUCUUAAGACCUAAUCCUAGCCUCCGGGAGGCUGGGGGAGGGGGAAGCUGAGUUUGUGAUCUGAGGGGGCAGCUUGCCCCUCGGAAAGGACACAGGAAAAUCUGGAGACCAGGGGCAAUUCGUCUUGUGUCCCCCAGUCUCCGAUUCCUCAUUUGUCAAAAGCCACAGACAGCACCUGCCUGGAGCUCUGUCAGGCGGCCCCAGUGAAUCGAUCGUUCUGGAGGCCAGACUGGGCUCCCCCUGCGUGCAGUACGACCAGAUGCUUGUAGUGGGGGCGUCAGGGCCGUGCCCCGAGCAGGGGUCUCCUGCUUCAUUUCCCUGGGGCCCGGGCCCGCGAUGGCUGUGACUUGACCCCUCUCCCCAGAGGUGAAAGGUCCCCACUUUGCAGCCGGCGGUAAUUCCCAGAACCAUCCAUCUCCCGCCACCCCGCGCCUUGGAGCGCCGUCGGGGAAGAGUGAUGGGCGCCUCUCGCGGGCCCAGGCGGGGAAUUGCCACAACAGGUUUAUGCCGCAUGAGUGAUGGUGUUUGCGUCGCUGACGCCGGGGUGCCGCCAGGACCAGACUGCACCCAGAGCAGAACAAUAAAUACUGUGAGACGCUGCCAAAGGGGGGACCGUUCCUAUGCCCGAGAGACAACUGACGGGCCCCGGGGAGGCAGCCGGGGUGGCAAGGCCGGGCCCUGGGGGGUGUCUGCCCCAUAGCUGAUGGAGGGCUGGGUGAUUUCUGUAGGUUGAGGGCAGCGAUGGAAUUGGGGAGAAAACGACUCUUCGAAGGAGAGAGGGGACCUUGCAGUCAGAGGCGAACAGCAGCAACAGAGUGUCUGAAAGAUUCAGAACCUGUAACUCCAGGCCGGGUUCCCUGGAGUGCGUGUGAGCAAAGGGAGCCCCCGAGGCCCAGCAAAGGGAGCUGUCACCAGGAGACUCAGGACCAGGACAGCCUGGCUGAAAAACAUCCCUAACCCGCCGGCUGUCACCUGGGUGGCUUGGGGGUUCAGGGUGGCCGUUGCGGCGGAGUGUUUCACACCACCUUUGUGUCUGAGCUUUUCUAGUCCUGCAAAGCUGCCACUUAGCACUGCCCUCUGGGGACCCGCCUGGGCUGUAGGCAGCAUGCUUGGGUCUGGCAUUAAAGCUUCUUCCUCUGCCUCCUACGGUGACACCCAGAAAUGUGCUGCAACAGGGACUCAGGAGUCCCCAGGUGUGCGUUGCAGAAGCUGUGUGACCUGAGCCAGAGACCUUGGGGCCUCCGUUUCCCCACCUGUAAAAUGGGCCACUGUCACCCCAGUGGGGUUAUGGACGAACCGAACAAAUGAGGUCGUUGCGUGGAUUCUUCAGGCUGGAGCCAGUACCACGUUCCCUGGAAGGCAUCUGGGUGUCGCUUUCAGUCAGGAUCUCUGACUCAAAUGUAUUUUUCUCCCGUGGCCACAGUGAAGGAACUGCUGAUGUCACCUGGCCUCUCCCCUGUGGGCACGGUGUGGUGUGGCGGGUGACUCCUCUGGUUCUUAGUGUACAUACAACUUCGUCACAGCUGCGGAGACCCAGGCUCUGAAUCAGCUCCCAGGGGCAGGUUACAGGGAUUAGCACAGGGACGCAGCCCGCGGCCAGCUCAAGGUCACAGCCCAUGGCCAGCUCAAGGUCACAGGUCGGGGAGCCCCAGGACAGCGCAGGCCGCCAUCCUCAAGGGCUGGCCUGGUGCCCAUGUGGUCUCGGCACCCGGCGUGGGUGUUUUGAGUCCUCUCUGCUUCCCGGUUCUCUGAUUGUUCCCACUUUGCAGAUGGGAAAAGGGAGGCCCAGGGAGCUGUCGCCACUUCUGCCUCAAGUCUCAUGGCUGGGAGCUGGCGGAGCCGGGAUCUAGGCUCUAGAACUCAUGCCUUGGCUGCCGUGCCUCUGCGCCGGCUGAUGGAGAACAGGCAGAGCUGUUGAGUAGAUGCGGGGGGCGGGGAGUGUGCUCCCCACCCCCCGUUUGUCUUGCAGGCAGUGGUUCCCCUCCCAGGGUCCCCCUAACCCAGCACAGCUGUGUUACGGACCUGCUGGUUUCCUUGUUCCCACCCCUAACACACUUGCACACACGGAAGUACACCUGCUGGGGUUCCCAUUGUGGCUUAGUAGGUUACAGACCCGACUGUAGGACGCAGGUUCGAUCCCUGGCCUCACUCAGUGGGUUAAAGAUCUGACAUUGCCGUGAGCUGUGGUGUAGGUCGCAGAUGUGGCUUGGAUCUGGCAUUGCUGUGGCUGUGACAUAGACUGGCAGCUGCAGCUCUGAUUCGAUCCCUAGCCUGGGAACUUUCGUAUGCUGCAGGUGCAGCCAUGAAAAAAA